ensembl:misc_RNA Y_RNA Y RNA
CGCGGGUCCAUAGUGCAGAGGCGUUUACAGCUAAUUGAUCAUAAUCAGUUAUAAAUUCCUUUGUCCCUUCUCCAGUCCCGUUGCUUCACUUGACUAGUCUUUA